rnacentral:rRNA from 1 species
UAACAAGGUCUCCGUUGGUGAACCAGCGGAGGGAUCAUUAUCGAGUUACCGCUCCUUAUAACCCUUUGUGAACAUACCUCAAACGUUGCCUCGGCGGGCAGCCGGAGCCCAGCUCCGGCGCCCGGAGCCGCCUUCUCGGCGCGCCCCACCCGCCGGCGGACCACUAAACUCUAUUGCAACGACGUCUCUUCUGAGUGGUACAAGCAAAUAAUCAAAACUUUUAACAACGGAUCUCUUGGUUCUGGCAUCGAUGAAGAACGCAGCGAAAUGCGAUAAGUAAUGUGAAUUGCAGAAUUCAGUGAAUCAUCGAAUCUUUGAACGCACAUUGCGCCCGCCAGCAUUCUGGCGGGCAUGCCUGUUCGAGCGUCAUUUCAACCCUCAAGCACCGCUUGGCGUUGGGGCCCUACGGCUUCCGUAGGCCCCGAAAUACAGUGGCGGACCCUCCCGGAGCCUCCUUUGCGUAGUAACAUACCACCUCGCACUGGGAUCCGGAGGGACUCCUGCCGUAAAACCCCCCAAUUUAUCAAGGUUGACCUCGGAUCAGGUAGGAAUACCCGCUGAACUUAAGCAUAUCAAUA